rnacentral:rRNA from 1 species
UGGGGAAUCUUGCACAAUGCGCGAAAGCGUGAUGCAGCAACGCCGCGUGGGGGAAGAAGGCCUUCGGGUUGUAAACCCCUUUCAGUUGGGACGAAGCUUCAGCGGUGAAUAGCCGCUUGGAGUGACGGUACCUUCACAAGAAGCCCCGGCUAACUACGUGCCAGCAGCCGCGGUAAUACGUAGGGGGCUAGCGUUGUCCGGAAUCAUUGGGCGUAAAGAGCGUGUAGGCGGCCCGGUAAGUCCGCUGUGAAAGUCGGGGGCUCAACCCUCGAAUGCCGGUGGAUACUGUCGGGCUAGAGUGCGGAAGAGGCGAGUGGAAUUCCUGGUGUAGCGGUGAAAUGCGCAGAUUUCAGGAGGAACACCGAUUGCGAAGGCAGCUCGCUGGGACGUAACUGACGCUGAGACGCGAAAGCGUGGGGAGCAAACAGG